CCGUAAGGAGCCAGCGGCCGAAGGUGGGAUCGAUGAUUGGGGUGAAGUCGUAACAAGGUAGCCGUAGGAGAACCUGCGGCUGGAUCACCUCCUUUCUAGGGAG
rnacentral:rRNA from 1 species